rnacentral:tRNA from 1 species
GUGAAUAUAGUUUAAAUUAAAUACUAGACUGUGAAUCUAGAGAUAGGAGCGCAACCCUUCUUAUUCACC